AACGUAGGUGGCCAGCGUUGCUCGGAAGUACUGGGCGUAAAGGGUCCGUAGGCGGUGUGGCAAGUCGGAAGUGAAAUCUCAGGGCUUAACCCUGAGGCUGCUUCUGAAACUGCCGUGCUAGAGUGCGAGAGAGGCGAGUGGAAUUGCAGGUGUAGCGGUGAAAUGCGUAGGUAUCUGCAGGAACACCCGAGGCGAAAGCGGCUCGCUGGAUCGCAACUGACGCUGAGGGACGAAUGCUAGGGGAACAAACAGG
rnacentral:rRNA from 1 species